AUAUAUGUGUGUGUGUGUGUAAAAAGGUGUAUAGAAUUAUAGAAUUAAAGGCAAUGCUAUUGCUACUUCAGAGUAAUCCUUAUUUUUAAUAUUGUCAAUA